ensembl:snoRNA U3 Small nucleolar RNA U3
AAGACUAUACUUUGAGGGGUCGUUUCUAUAGUUUGUCACUAGAGCAGUUUCUCUGACUGUGUAGUGUACCCAAGACCACAAGGAAAAGACAGCGUCCCCCUAAGCGUGAAGCUGGCUCUGUUGCGCCUCCUCCUCUUCCGCUCAGGGUCAUCCUUCUCUUCCUUUGGGAGAGUGGGGGGAGGAAGUGUGGUUGGAGUGGA